CGUCGCAGCAUGCCGAUAAUAGCAGCACGUCCGCGCCUGUUUCAAAGGGUUGCGGCUCGCACACCACUGCGCAUGUGUUCUGAGCGCACACGUUUCAGCAUGAAGCACGCAGAGUGCGAAGGUUAGGAACUUCUUGCAAUGCUUUGGCCAUAAGUGACAUCGCAGUGGACGAGGCACAUUAAACGCACAAGGACAAAGACAACACAAGCCUCACAACGCCCAGUUGCACACCUGAUUUGAAUGAUUGAUAGCAAUGAAGAACCCAUUGCUGAUGCCUUUAUU